UUUAUCAUCUCCCAAGGGCCAUUUCAAAAUUCCCGUCAUUUUCCUCUAUAAGUAUCCUUCUUAUCGCAUAACAACCGAAAUAUCCGUACACUUGACAGUUUUCGGUCCAAAUUUUAAAAACUUUGCAAAACCUUUAAAAAAAAAAAAAGGAAAUCUGUAUCUCUCUCUAAUCUAAACCUUUUGAGAAUUAGAAUUAGAAAGAGAUUCCGGGAUUUGAGCAUUUCGAGGCAAAAAGGUUACUCCUCACUGUUAUGUAAAAAAAUAUUGUACAUUAAAUUCCAAAAGAGAGCGAAAAUGCGAAGUGCGAUGGAGUGAGCAUGCACUGAGUCGGAAUUGAAUCGCUGGAUAUCGAAGCUGAAAGAGAGAAAAAAGAGAGUCGGGGUUAGGGUUUUCUGGUGUGUGAAAAGAUUCGAAUCGAGAAGAAGAGAGAGGCUAGGGUUUUGGCGGUGAAGAUGACGGAGGUCGUAUUACAUAUAUACGAUGUGACGAACAGUGGAUCGGAUAAAACGAACAGCACGAUCGUUCAAAUCAACAAGAUCUUCAAGGAUGGAAUCGGCCUCGGCGGCAUCUUUCACAGCGCCGUUCAGGUAUAUGGAGAUGAAGAAUGGUCUUUUGGCUUCUGUGAGCAAGGUUCUGGGGUUUUUAGUUGUCCUUCUAGCAAAAAUCCAAUGUACACAUAUCGUGAGUUCAUGGUCCUUGGAAGAACUAACUUUUCAAUAUUCAAGGUAAACCAGAUCUUGCGGGAACUUAGUAGAGAAUGGCCUGGAAGUUCCUAUGACUUGUUAUCCAAAAAUUGCAACCACUUCUGUGAUGAGUUCUGCGAAAGGCUUGGUGUCCAAAAGCUUCCAGGUUGGGUUAAUCGUUUUGCCAAUGCUGGUGAUGCUGCUAUAGAAAUAGCAGAAAACACUGCUGUACGGUUGAGACAAGCCAAGACUGAGAUAGUAUCAGCCAGCAAAGUGGCAUAUCGAUUCCUUGUUGGUGUUACUUCUGGUUCUAGUGGUAGUAGCGAUUCCCCUGGCAAUUCAAACAGAGGAACUCCCAGAUUUCAAGCAGCUUGGUUCAAAAACCUCAUCACUACUGGUGCCAAACCAUCGAGCAGUUCUGAAAUUGAGACUCAGGAUGGCAAUAUCCUCCAACAGCACCAGCAACAGAAUUCUGCCCGGACAGUGCGACAAAAUUCUCAAGAUUCGGAAAGACCGCUACGACAGAGUUUUCAAGAUUUGGAACGACCAUUGCAACAGAAUUCACAAGAUUCAGAACAACCACUGCAACAGAAUUCACGGCAUGAAAUAUGACGAAAAUGUUUUGUGUAAGUCUUCUUAUGUGUACUAGUUGAAACUCUGCAAAGCCAAUCAAGUAGCUAUUCAUUGUGUAUGAAUGUAAAAUGUUCAUUUGUUGCCCCAGUUGAAAUUUUCAAAAUUAUACCACGUGGACUGAAGUACAUGGAAAAGACUCAAUCGAGUACUCUUUCUGAAAACUCUCAUCUCGUGCGUGGGGCUGGGCCAGUGUUCAUUUGUUCCCACUAGAGAUAGCCAAUGUGUAGGCAAUCCUGGCAGCGCAAGCACCUCGACAGUUAGCAAUAACCAACAGUCAAUUUGUUUAAGAGGCGUUGAAGGGUUUUCAACUUGUUAAACGUGAUUGUGGGUUUAUGCACAUCCUGCAAGUUGUAAUAACUGUGCAGUAAUGCAAGCAUCUAAUGUGGGAUAAGCAGGGAGCAGCAACUCAACUACCACCACAGCAUAACCAGAGGUGGGGAGUAGAAAUUUUUAGGAGAGACUGAAAAUUGAACUAUUAGUAUUUCUACUAUAUAAACAUGGGAUACCGGGUUUAUCUACAGAGCUCUAGUAACAGCUA